CGAGAGAGAAGCUAGGUGUGAUGAUGACAGACUAGCUUUUCUGAGAGGAAAAGGAAAAGGGAAGGGAGAGAAAAAGGAGAGCCUCUGAGCUCAACGGAGGAUUGUGCCUGAGAAGAACCCACAGAGGAAAGCCCCACUUCCAGUCUGAUGAGGAAAGCGACAAUCUAUCAGGUACAGAACCAGGGGCUGUCUGCGAAGAUGGAGGGG
rnacentral:lncRNA from 1 species